CUCUUUUCCAUCUUUUAAUUGACUUGCUUUUCUCUUUUGUACAUGUAUAUUUAGCAGCCAAUAUUCUAUUUAAACAUGUCCUCUGAGUUUUAUUUCAGUGGGUACAUUUUAUCAUUUCUAGAAUUGCUAUUCUGGUUCUUUUCAAAUAUGUAUUUUUUCUUUUUCUUUCUUUCCUUUUUUUUUUUUUUUUUUGAGAUGAAGUCUCUCUCUGUCAUCCAGUCUGGAAUGUAGUAGUGGGAUCUCAGCUCACUACCACCUCUCCCUCCCAGUUCAAGUAGCUGGGAUUACAAGUGCCUGCCUCAGCCUCCAAAGUAGCUGGGAUUACAGAUGCCUACCACCACACCCAGCUACUUUUUCAAUUUUUAGUAGAGAUGGGUUUUCAUCAUGUUGGCCAGGCUGGCCCUGAACUCCUAAAGUCAGAUGAUCCACCUGCCUUAUCUUUUUUUUCACAAUAUACUGUUUGUAUCCUAUGGAGUACUUGUUUUUCUACCUAAUUUUGAGGACUAAGACUCAUAUUUUAAGUUGUCCUUUAUUUACUCACUCUAUUGUGACUUCUUGCAGUGCAUAGUGACACCGAUUGCAUCUACCGACUCUCAUAGCAACUGGAUUCUUUAUGUAGGCCUACUGUGUUCUGUGUUCACUGGUUCUGGGAUUGAGGGUGACUCUGAAGAAAGCAGGGGCAGCAUCCUCAAUGACCAAUUUUAUAUCAUUUAACCCAUAUCUUCUCUUUUAUAAUCAUAAUGAUCAGAUCAGAAUGUGGAUACAUGACCAAAGAUAUGUGAUUCAUAUAUUGAAAAUGCUGUCAUCAUUAGAUAAAAGAUAUCAGAUGAGAAAUACUAAGACAUUAAAGGAGAAAAAGAGGAAAGAGAAUGAAUAAAUUUGUGUG
rnacentral:lncRNA from 1 species